GAACGCACCGCAAGGUGAGUGGCAGACGGGUGAGUAACGCGUGGGAACCUUCCCUGUGGUACGGAAUAACUUCGGGAAACCGAAGCUAAUACCGUAUAUCUCCUCUGGGAGAAAGAUUUAUCGCCAUAGGAUGGGCCCGCGUUGGAUUAGCUAGUUGGUAGGGUAAUGGCCUACCAAGGCAACGAUCCAUAGCUGGUCUGAGAGGAUGAUCAGCCACACUGGGACUGAGACACGGCCCAGACUCCUACGGGAGGCAGCAGUGGGGAAUAUUGGACAAUGGGCGCAAGCCUGAUCCAGCCAUGCCGCGUGGAUGAUGAAGGCCCUAGGGUUGUAAAGUCCUUUCGGCGGGGAAGAUAAUGACGGUACCCGCAGAAGAAGCCCCGGCUAACUUCGUG
rnacentral:rRNA from 1 species